GGCCCGGUGGGGGAGCGGUCACCCAGUCGCCUGCAAAGCGUUCCAGCCUCGGUUCAAGUCCGGGGCCGGGCCUCCA
rnacentral:tRNA from 1 species